GACCGACAGUGAAAAUCGAUUUUCACUGGCGGUCGACGUAAUAAAACCGCCAGUGAAAAUCGAUUUUCACUGGCGGUC
rnacentral:pre_miRNA from 7 species